rnacentral:rRNA from 1 species
GCAUAUCAAUAAGCGGAGGAAAAGAAACCAACAGGGAUUGCCCCAGUAACGGCGAGUGAAGCGGCAACAGCUCAAAUUUGAAAUCUGGUCCCCAGGGCCCGAGUUGUAAUUUGUAGAGGAUGCUUUUGGCGAGGCGCCUUCCGAGUUCCCUGGAACGGGACGCCACAGAGGGUGAGAGCCCCGUCUGGUCGGAUGCCAAGCCUAUGUAAAGCUCCUUCGACGAGUCGAGUAGUUUGGGAAUGCUGCUCAAAAUGGGAGGUAUAUGUCUUCUAAAGCUAAAUAUUGGCCAGAGACCGAUAGCGCACAAGUAGAGUGAUCGAAAGAUGAAAAGCACUUUGAAAAGAGGGUUAAAAAGUACGUGAAAUUGUUGAAAGGGAAGCGCCUAUGACCAGACUUGGGCCCGGUGAAUCAUCCAGCGUUCUCGCUGGUGCACUUUGCCGGGCACAGGCCAGCAUCAGUUUGGCGCGGGGGAUAAAGGCUUCGGGAAUGUGGCUCCCUCGGGAGUGUUAUAGCCCGUUGUGUAAUACCCUGCGCCGGACUGAGGUACGCGCUCCGCAAGGAUGCUGGCGUAAUGGUCAUCAGCGACCCGUCUUGAAACACGGACC